rnacentral:rRNA from 1 species
CUUGGUGCCAUUAGCCACGGGGGUACACCCGUUCCCUUUCCGAACACGGCAGUUAAGCCCGUGCACGUCGAUGGUAGUGUGGCAUGCGCCAUGCGAGAGUAGAUCGGUGCCAAGA